rnacentral:rRNA from 1 species
GAUGAACGCUGGCGGCGUGCCUAACACAUGCAAGUCGAGCGAUCUUCUUCGGAAGAGAGCGGCGGACGGGUGAGCAACACGUGAGAAUCUACCCUUUAGUGAAGAAUACCCUCGAGAAAUCGAGGCUAAUACUGCAUACGUCCCUUCGGGGAGAAAGAUGGCCUCUUUGCUAUCGCUAAAGGAUGAGCUUGCGUACUAUUAGCUAGUUGGCGGGGUAAAGGCCCACCAAGGCAAUGAUGGUUAACCGGCCUGAGAGGGUGUACGGUCACACUGGAACUUAGACACGGUCCAGACUCCUACGGGAGGCAGCAGUGAGGAAUCUUGCGCAAUGGGCGAAAGCCUGACGCAGCGACGCCGCGUGGAGGAUGACGGUUUUCGGAUUGUAAACUCCUGUUAAGCGGGAAGAAAGCCUUGUUUCUAAUACAAGCAAGGUAUGACGGUACCGCUAGAGAAAGCACCGGCUAACUUCGUGCCAGCAGCCGCGGUAAAGUCGUCAU